ACCGGCGCACGGGUGAGUAACACGUAUGAAACCUGCCCGCAGCAGGGGGAUAAUCGGAAGAAAUUCCGUCUAAUACCGCGUAACAUCCCGGGAGGGCAUCCUCUUGGGAUUAAAGGAGCGAUCCGGCUGCGGAUGGUCAUGCGGCGCAUUAGCUUGUUGGCGGGGUAACGGCCCACCAAGGCGACGAUGCGUAGGGGUUCUGAGAGGAAGGUCCCCCACACUGGUACUGAGACACGGACCAGACUCCUACGGGAGGCAGCAGUGAGGAAUAUUGGUCAAUGGCCGGGAGGCUGAACCAGCCAAGUCGCGUGAGGGAAGACGGCCCUACGGGUUGUAAACCUCUUUUGCCGGGGAGCAAAGGGCGGGACGUGUCCCGCGUCGAGAGUACCCGGAGAAAAAGCAUCGGCUAACUCCGUGCCAGCAGCCGCGGUAAUACGGAGGAUGCGAGCGUUAUCCGGAUUUAUUGGGUUUAAAGGGUGCGCAGGCGGGAUGUCAAGUCAGCGGUAAAAUCGGGAGGCUCAACCUCUCUCAGCCGUUGAAACUGGCGUUCUUGAGUGGGCGAGAAGUAUGCGGAAUGCGUGGUGUAGCGGUGAAAUGCAUAGAUAUCACGCAGAACCCUGAUUGCGAAGGCAGCAUACCGGCGCCCUACUGACGCUCAUGCACGAAAGCGUGGGUAUCGAACAGGAUUAGAUACCCUGGUAGUCCACGCAGUAAACGAUGAAUACUC
rnacentral:rRNA from 1 species